UACGGAAGGCAGCGGUAGGGAAGUCUUCCGCAAUGGACGAAAGUCUGACGGAGCAACGCCGCGUGAACGAUGAAGGCUUUUCGGGUCGUAAAGUUCUGUUGUUAGGGAAGAACAAGUACCAGAGUAACUGCUGGUACCUUGACGGUACCUAACCAGAAAGCCACGGCUAACUACGUGCCAGCAGCCGCGGUAAUACGUAGGUGGCAAGCGUUGUCCGGAAUUAUUGGGCGUAAAGCGCGCGCAGGUGGUUUCUUUUAAGUCUGAUGUGAAAGCCCACGGCUCAAACCGUGGAGGGUCAUUGGAAACUGGGGAACUUGAGUGCAGAAGAGGAAAGUGGAAUUCCACGUGUAGCGGUGAAAUGCGUAGAGAUGUGGAGGAACACCAGUGGCGAAGGCGAACUUUUCUGGUCUGUAAACUGACACUGAGGCGCGAAAGCGUGGGGAGCGAACAGGGAUUAGAUACCCG
rnacentral:rRNA from 1 species